UACGAAGGGGGCGAGCGUUGUUCGGAUUUACUGGGCGUAAAGGGCGCGUAGGCGGUGCCUGAAGUCGAGUGUGAAAGCCCCGGGCUCAACCUGGGAGGUGCGCUCGAUACUCUGGCGCUGGAGUUCGGGAGAGGAGCGUGGAAUUCCCAGUGUAGAGGUGAAAUUCGUAGAUAUUGGGAAGAACACCGGUGGCGAAGGCGGCGCUCUGGACCGAGACUGACGCUGAGGCGCGAAAGCGUGGGGAG
rnacentral:rRNA from 1 species